UUGCCUCGCCAGUGGUGGGAGUACCGAGAGCCCUGGGCUGGGAGCUCGAGAGCUGGCUCAGCUCGCUCGCUUCAUCACCCGAGCAUGAGUCGGUGACUCACGGGCUCCAGGGCCCGCGCCUCAGAGAGGUUUGGCAGGGAGAACCCACACCUCCCUCCUGGCGGAGCGUCCAGGGCACCCUGGGCCUCGCGGCCCUCGCGGUUGAGGGCGCAGAGAAACGCACCCCCUGCAGGACCCCUGCAGUCCCCCUAGUUUUGUCCCACGCCGGGGAAGCCACGUUUUGCCUCUUGCACGGUUGGUUCACGUCCUCAGCAGUUCCUGGACCAACAGGACAGGAGAAGGUACCAGACACAUUGAUCAUGGGAGUGAUCAAACACACCAUUCCUGGCUAAGAACACUGCCAUGAUCAUAGCCUCCAAGGAGAGACGCGUCCCCAAGGCAUUGCUCAUCCAGACUUUGCCGUGUUUUGACCACACCAUCCUUUGGCCAUGUGUGAUUGGACAGAAGAGGAUGCUUGGCCCAGGACCUCCAUGCAUGGGCUGACUGGUAUUGUCAGAUGUGGUCCAGCUGGAUCAAAGAUCAUUCAAGUUACAUCGUUCUCUCUUUGGGAGUUGAUUUUGGAAAUAAAGAGAAAACAAGCCAGCUGGUAGCGGGACAAGAAUCAUGGAGAUACACUUAGAAGAGGGGUGUGAAGAUUGUCAUCGCUGAGUCACCCUGAUGCUGGAAAUCCAGGACCAACGGUUCUGAACCCAAAUGCAUGUGCACACGGGCUGGCAGCUCCCCUCACAGUCUUGCAGGGACAGUGUCUGUGGAUGGCUUUGGCCAGCAGGACGAUCGUGGACACCAGAAGACCCAGAAGCAACAUGGAGCCCAAAGUGAUGACAAAAGGCACAUACCACGCAGAUGGAGAAUACACGUUCUUCCUCAGGAUCUGCUGCUGCAGCCUCCAGCACCAGGAGCCCGCAGCAAGGAUCCAGGAACACUGACAUCAAUUUCAUACCUGUGCCAAUGGAGUAACGAAAAGACCUAGGGCUGGAAUCAAGUUGCUGCCACCAGCAAGGUGACUGCUGGAUCCUGGAACCCACCAGAUGGAGAAUUUGAAGCUCAGAGAGGUUAAGAACUUGUCCAAGACGACACAGAACCAAGGAUCCAAUGUGGGAUGUCUGUCUCCAGAGACUGCUCACCCAUUCCAGCCUCCCCGGUGCUCUGUGCCUGGAGGUGGACAGCACUUUCUUCCCAUUGCCACUUCCCAUCUCGCCCCACUGAGACUCCAGGUUCCUGUGUCAAAGGCCAUACAGAAAAGCUGCUUUUCCAUUUAAUAAAGAAACUUACACUGAGGGGGUCCAGCCUGAUGCCGCUGUCUGGACUGCAUUGCACAUCCCAGUGUGUCUCACCUUUUGCCAAGUUGCCCUGAAACUCAGGCGGCUCAUUCACAUCUGUCACCUG